GAUGAACGCUGGCGGCGUGCCUAAUACAUGCAAGUCGAGCGAACGGACGAGAAGCUUGCUUCUCUGAUGUUAGCGGCGGACGGGUGAGUAACACGUGGAUAACCUACCUAUAAGACUGGGAUAACUUCGGGAAACCGGAGCUAAUACCGGAUAAUAUUUUGAACCGCAUGGUUCAAAAGUAAAAGACGGUCUUGCUGUCACUUAUAGAUGGAUCCGCGCUGCAUUAGCUAGUUGGUAAGGUAACGGCUUACCAAGGCAACGAUGCAUAGCCGACCUGAGAGGGUGAUCGGCCCAACUGGAACUGGGACCCGGUCCAGACUCCUACGGGAGGCAGCAGUAGGGAAUCUUCCGCAAUGGGCGAAAGCCUGACGGAGCAACGCCGCGUGAGGGAUGAAGGUCUUCGGAUCGUAAAACUCUGUUAUUAGGGAAGAACAUAUGUGUAAGUAACUGUGCACAUCUUGACGGUACCUAAUCAGAAAGCCACGGCUAACUACGUG
rnacentral:rRNA from 1 species